CUGACAUAACUUGAUCAGAAAUCUAAAAAUAGGAGACAAAGAUUGAGCCAUCAAAAGAAAGUAGUGCUGUGUCUUAAGGGUCGCAAGUCAUUAGUCAUUUUUUACUCUCAAUGUAAUAGCGCCAAUGUGGUCCAGUGGUAAGCACAUUGCAUAUCAAUGUCACAGACCUGUGAUCGAAUCUCCCAUGAAAAAUCAGGGUUUUUUUUCGAUUUUAUUGUUAAGACAUAAAAUACUGUUAGGGCUGUUGAACAUUUGAAUUUCUAAAGCAGCAGUUUUCUUGAAAAAGACGUGAUAGUGCCAUUAGUAACUGAAUUGGAAUCAGUCGUGAACUGAGGUGGGCCGGUCUGGCUUGAAACUCCAGGGCUGAAAAUGAGUACCACUCCGGCCCUGGCCUACAGAGACUUUAAUAGACACCAAUAAAUAAAAUAUAGUAAAAUGAGAUUAAAAUGAUGUUAAUGCAUCGAAUUAAAGUAUAAAAACACACUGGAAACCACUGAUAUAAUCAUGGCUCAAGUGUUGCAAGCUUUUUUUCUACUUCUUGAUUGUUUUUUAUAUGUGUGAAUGUGCAUUUUUGCUUGCUGAAGGCGAUGAUUAAUAUCUGUAUCAUUAAAAUAUCCUUUAUUUUAUGUUAGAUGAUUAUUUUUGGAUGUUUAUAUGGUUUAAUAUUUGAUUCACUGCAAAAAAAAUCUAAAUAAAAAGGUCUGAAAACUAUUUAGUAUGAUGUCUAAGAGAGCUCAAAUUAUGAAACACCUGCAAAUAGAAAGCAACUGAAAUGUCAAGUUUAGCACACAUCUUCAUCAUUACUUAUUAACAGAACACACAUCUGAUGUGAUUUGAGAACAGUUUAAACACACUUCUCAGUAAAACCACUGAGAUUAAACCAGCGGAUAAAGCAGCAGCAGAUAACAGAGCAGGAGACACAGGAGCAGAGCAGAACUCAGUCAUCAUUGGGGACGUUGUUCUGCCGUGAACACAGCGCUGUAGAAAUCUCCUGAAUAUAUCAAGAUGGACAACACAGAGACAUACUGGCAAAUGGAUUACCCACUUAGAUGGAAGUUGAUACCUGAAGAGCUGGAUUUUAAGAUCAGAUCCUUCAUCUUCAGCAUCAUUGGUGCGUCUGCAGGUCUACCAGCUCUUGUUUGGUCUGUCGGUGAACUGAUUGAGCACAGAAGGAAUGGACACCAUAUUUCAGCCUUCAUCAUCCUCCUCCUCCUCACUGACUUUACUGAGCUUUACUUGAGUCCCUACAUACUGAUCAAAGAUCUCUUAAAUGAGCUCUAUAUGUCUACAGAUUUGACAAGUCUGGUUUUUCAGUCUUUAUGGUGGUCUUCAACAGACUGUGGUCUCCUCUUGAAUCAGCUGGUGGCGCUAGAGGGGAUUCUCUCAGUCAGAUAUCCGCUGUACACUGCUGCUGUUUUCUCCUCACGCUGCUUCAGACUCUUCUUCAUGCUUGCUUUCCUCUGUAUCACUAUCUGUCGGGUUUAUUUUCAAACUGACAUCACUGUGUUGUCUUGUAUUAUUGCAUUCCUCGUGUUGGUUGUAGUACAUCGGAUAAUUCUGGUAAUAUACUGUAGACCUUCCUGCUCUGCUGAUCCUCACUCUCACACGUCCAGGAAACAUGACCCUCACAUUUUGGUUAUUUUCAUAUUCAAUCUGCUGGUGUUUUAUCCGCCUAUUGUACUUAGAUUAUUGCAUCUUGAUAGACAUAAUCUUUUUCAUAGUCCUUUGUUUGUGAGGUUGAGGCUGAUCUCAGACCCUCUCCUGUGUGUGCUGGUCUGCAGGCAGAAUCUCAGAGUUGAAACACCGCAAAACCCAGAAGAAACCAGAGUAGAUCCAAGAUGAUCUGGUGUGACAGCAACACUCAGUCCAAUGAAAUGUUAAAAAACUAUGAUUUUCUGAUUAAUAUUACACACAUGAAACUGUUUUGUUGUUUCACAGACAUUUAAAUCUGUAUAUAUACACUAUUAUUUAUAUCUGUCUGUGUAUUAUGUGAUCAUAAUAAAGUGAGUAUUACAUUCC